rnacentral:rRNA from 1 species
UACGAAGGGGGCUAGCGUUGCUCGGAAUCACUGGGCGUAAAGCGCACGUAGGCCGAUUGUUAAGUCAGGGGUGAAAUCCUGGAGCUCAACUCCAGAACUGCCCUUGAUACUGACGGUCUCGAGUCCGGGAGAGGUGAGUGGAACUGCGAGUGUAGAGGUGAAAUUCGUAGAUAUUCGCAAGAACACCAGUGGCGAAGGCGGCUCACUGGCCCGAUACUGACGCUGAGGUG